AGGAUGAACGCUAGCUACAGGCUUAACACAUGCAAGUCGAGGGGCAGCAUGGUCUUAGCUUGCUAAGACUGAUGGCGACCGGCGCACGGGUGAGUAACACGUAUCCAACCUGCCGUCUACUCUUGGACAGCCUUCUGAAAGGAAGAUUAAUACAAGAUGGCAUCAUGAGUCCACAUGUUCACAUGAUUAAAGGUAUUCCGGUAGACGAUGGGGAUGCGUUCCAUUAGAUAGUAGGCGGGGUAACGGCCCACCUAGUCUUCGAUGGAUAGGGGUUCUGAGAGGAAGGUCCCCCACAUUGGAACUGAGACACGGUCCAAACUCCUACGGGAGGCAGCAGUGAGGAAUAUUGGUCAAUGGGCGAGAGCUUGAACCAGCCAAGUAGCGUGAAGGAUGGCUGCCCUAUGGGUUGUAAACUUCUUUUAUAAAGGAAUAAAGUCGGGUAUGCAUACCUGUUUGCAUGUACUUUAUGAAUAAGGAUCGGCUAACUCCGUGCCAGCAGCCGCGGUAAUACGGAGGAUCCGAGCGUUAUCCGGAUUUAUUGGGUUUAAAGGGAGCGUAGAUGGAUGUUUAAGUCAGUUGUGAAAGUUUGCGGCUCAACCGUAAAAUUGCAGUUGAUACUGGAUAUCUUGAGUGCAGUUGAGGCAGGCGGAAUUCGUGGUGUAGCGGUGAAAUGCUUAGAUAUCACGAAGAACUCCGAUUGCGAAGGCAGCCUGCUAAGCUGCAACUGACAUUGAGGCUCGAAAGUGUGGGUAUCAAACAGGAUUAGAUACCCUGGUAGUCCACACGGUAAACGAUGAAUACUCGCUGUUUGCGAUAUACGGCAAGCGGCCAAGCGAAAGCGUUAAGUAUUCCACCUGGGGAGUACGCCGGCAACGGUGAAACUCAAAGGAAUUGACGGGGGCCCGCACAAGCGGAGGAACAUGUGGUUUAAUUCGAUGAUACGCGAGGAACCUUACCCGGGCUUAAAUUGCAGAUGAAUUACGGUGAAAGCCGUAAGCCGCAAGGCAUCUGUGAAGGUGCUGCAUGGUUGUCGUCAGCUCGUGCCGUGAGGUGUCGGCUUAAGUGCCAUAACGAGCGCAACCCUUGUUGUCAGUUACUAACAGGUUCCGCUGAGGACUCUGACAAGACUGCCAUCGUAAGAUGUGAGGAAGGUGGGGAUGACGUCAAAUCAGCACGGCCCUUACGUCCGGGGCUACACACGUGUUACAAUGGGGGGUACAGAGGGCCGCUACCACGCGAGUGGAUGCCAAUCCCCAAAACCUCUCUCAGUUCGGACUGGAGUCUGCAACCCGACUCCACGAAGCUGGAUUCGCUAGUAAUCGCGCAUCAGCCACGGCGCGGUGAAUACGUUCCCGGGCCUUGUACACACCGCCCGUCAAGCCAUGGGAGCCGGGGGUACCUGAAGUGCGUAACCGCGAGGAGCGCCCUAGGGUAAAACUGG
rnacentral:rRNA from 1 species